AUGGAUAAGUUAUAUUUCAUCAGUAACACCACAGUUAUAUAUUUCUAUGACUGUGGUAUUAGUUCCCUUAUGCGCAUAUAUAUGUGCAUAUAUAUAUAUAUAUAUGUUCUAAUAUAUAUGACCCAUACUAGCUAUUCUUAUUAUUAUCCUUUUAGAUCUUGCUAUCCAAUCUUGUAACACUGCAACCUAUCAAGGGUACGGCCUUACUCAGAACCCUGUGGAUCUGACUCCCACAGGGGGUGAAGUUGUUGCCCAGACACGCUUUUGCCCGGUGUAUUUUUCCAACUUCCCUUAGUCCUGCUCCGUGUGUAUCCACUGGCGUUAUUUGACAUUCCACAGUUACUGAUAAGAGUAUGUCAUAGAUGUGUGCGGCGCCCAGAAGACGCGUAGUGCGAAACAUGUCGGCGACCAGCCCUCUACUCAUCUAAUUAUUGUCACAUCUUAUCUGCAACAGGGCAAUCAAUGAUUUCUGUCAUUGUAUUUUUUAUUCAUUUUGUUUUCGUGUAUUUAUAUUAAAUUUUGAUACUUUUCUA